UGGGGAAUAUUGGACAAUGGGCGCAAGCCUGAUCCAGCCAUGCCGCGUGAGUGAUGAAGGCCCUAGGGUUGUAAAGCUCUUUCAGCGAGGAGGAUAAUGACGUUACUCGCAGAAGAAGCCCCGGCUAACUUCGUGCCAGCAGCCGCGGUAAUACGAAGGGGGCUAGCGUUGUUCGGAAUCACUGGGCGUAAAGCGCACGUAGGCGGACUUUUAAGUCGGGGGUGAAAUCCCGGGGCUCAACCUCGGAACUGCCUUUGAUACUGGAAGUCUGGAGUCCGAGAGAGGUGAGUGGAACUCCGAGUGUAGAGGUGAAAUUCGUAGAUAUUCGGAAGAACACCAGUGGCGAAGGCGGCUCACUGGCUCGGUACUGACGCUGAGGUGCGAAAAGCGUGGGGAGCAAAACAGGAUUAGAUACCCUGGUAGUCCACGCCGUAAACGAUGGAAGCUAGCCGUCAGGGUGCAUGCAUCUUGGUGGCGCAGUUAACGCAUUAAGCUUCCCGCCUGGGGAGUACGGUCGCAAGAUUAAAAACUCAAAGGAAUUGACGGGGUCAUAGCUGUUUCCU
rnacentral:rRNA from 1 species